AGCUUUGGGAGAAGAGGGGUCUCUGGCGGCGGCUUGGGGAGGAGCUAGGUUUGGGCUUGGAGUUGGGCCCUGAAUGGCGCUUUGCUGUGAAUCUCCGCGGGGAGGCUCUUCCAACCAGGGGCUGAGCUUCUGCGCUGUGGAGAAGCCAGGCUCCUGAUGUCUUAUUGGGGGCCAUAUCUAGAGUGAUGCCCUAGUUCGCGUGGCUGAAGAUGGCUUGCCACCCUACCUGCUGAUUGCAUUCUGACUGGGUCUCACUCUAUCACCCAGGCUAAAGUGCAGUGGCGAGAUCUCGGCUCACUGCAGCCUCCACCUCCCAGGCUCAAGUGAUCCUCCUGACUCAGUCUCCCAAGCAGCCAAGAGUACUGGCGUGCACCACAACGCCCGGCUAAUUUCUGUAUUUUGGGUAGAGAUGGGGCUUCACCAUGUUGCCCAGGCUGGUCUUGAAUCUCUGGCCUCAAAGGAUCCUCCUGCCUUGGCCUCCCAAAAUGUUGGGAGGGCUAAAGCCACCACACCCGGCUCCAGUGUGGUAAUUCCUUAAUGUUUAAUAUUAUAAA
rnacentral:lncRNA from 1 species